rnacentral:rRNA from 1 species
UACGAAGGGGACUAGCGUUGUUCGGAAUUACUGGGCGUAAAGCGCACGUAGGCGGAUUUGUAAGUCAGGGGUGAAAUCCCGGGGCUCAACCUCGGAACUGCCUUUGAUACUGCAAAUCUCGAGUCCGAUAGAGGUUAGUGGAAUUCCGAGUGUAGAGGUGAAAUUCGUAGAUAUUCGGAAGAACACCAGUGGCGAAGGCGACUAACUGGACACGUAUUGACGCUGAGGUACGAAAGCGUGGGGAGCAAACAGG